UACGUAGGGUGCGAGCGUUGUCCGGAAUUAUUGGGCGUAAAGAGCUUGUAGGCGGUUUGUCGCGUCUGCCGUGAAAAUCCGGGGCUCAACCCCGGACUUGCGGUGGGUACGGGCAGACUAGAGUGUGGUAGGGGAGACUGGAAUUCCUGGUGUAGCGGUGAAAUGCGCAGAUAUCAGGAGGAACACCGGUGGCGAAGGCGGGUCUCUGGGCAACAUCUGACGCUGAGGAGCGAAAGCGUGGGGAGCGAACAGG
rnacentral:rRNA from 1 species